rnacentral:rRNA from 1 species
GACGAACGCUGGCGGCGUGCUUAACACAUGCAAGUCGAACGGAAAGGCCCCCUUGUGGGGUACUCGAGUGGCGAACGGGUGAGUAACACGUGAGUAACCUACCCUUGACUUUGGGAUAACUUCAGGAAACUGGGGCUAAUACCGGAUAGGAGCUCCUGCUGCAUGGUGGGGGUUGGAAAGUUUCGGCGGUUGGGGAUGGACUCGCGGCUUAUCAGCUUGUUGGUGGGGCAGUGGCUCACCAAGGCUUUGACGGGUAGCCGGCCUGAGAGGGUGACCGGCCACAUUGGGACUGAGAUACGGCCCAGACUCCUACGGGAGGCAGCAGUGGGGAAUAUUGCACAAUGGGCGGAAGCCUGAUGCAGCAACGCCGCGUGCGGGAUGACGGCCUUCGGGUUGUAAACCGCUUUCGCCUGUGACGAAGCGUGAGUGACGGUAAUGGGUAAAGAAGCACCGGCUAACUACGUG